UACGUAGGGGGCAAGCGUUGUCCGGAAUCAUUGGGCGUAAAGCGCGUGUAGGCGGUUCGGUAAGUCGGCUGUGAAAGUCCAGGGCUCAACCCUGGGAUGCCGGUCGAUACUGCCGGACUAGAGUUCGGAAGAGGCGAGUCGAAUUCCCGGUGUAGCGGUGAAAUGCGCAGAUAUCGGGAGGAACACCAAUGGCGAAGGCAGCUCGCUGGGACGUUACUGACGCUGAGACGCGAAAGCGUGGGGAGCAAACAGG
rnacentral:rRNA from 1 species